GAUCAACUCAUGGGGACAAGAUCCGGCAACCGCUGUUAGCUCGUUUCAAGUUAGUGUUGGUGCUGCUGGAACAACCAAUAAAACAGUGCGAGUACCUAAGAACUUCACAUUAAAGGCUCCAGGUCCUGGUUAUACUUGUGGACCUGCUAAAAUUGUGAAAUCGACUAAGUUUGUCUCCGCAGAUGGGAGAAGAGUGACACAGGCUAUGAUGACUUGGAAUGUCACAUGC
rnacentral:misc_RNA from 1 species